GCCGGGGUACCCGAGCCUGGUUAAGGGGCCGGCCUGCUAAGCCGGUGGGGGACACCCCGCGCGGGUUCAAAUCCCGCCCCCGGCG
rnacentral:tRNA from 1 species